GGAGGUGUCAGAUAGUGGCCAAUUCUAGAAGGUUGCUAACCUUCGGCGCGCAAGCGCCCCGUGGGUUCGAAUCCCACCACCUCCG
rnacentral:tRNA from 1 species